rnacentral:rRNA from 1 species
GGUUAAGCGACUAAGCGUACACGGUGGAUGCCCUGGCAGUCAGAGGCGAUGAAGGACGUGCUAAUCUGCGAUAAGCGUCGGUAAGGUGAUAUGAACCGUUAUAACCGGCGAUUUCCGAAUGGGGAAACCCAGUGUGUUUCGACACACUAUCAUUAACUGAAUCCAUAGGUUAAUGAGGCGAACCGGGGGAACUGAAACAUCUAAGUACCCCGAGGAAAAGAAAUCAACCGAGAUUCCCCCAGUAGCGGCGAGCGAACGGGGAGCAGCCCAGAGCCUGAAUCAGUGUGUGUGUUAGUGGAAGCGUCUGGAAAGGCGCGCGAUACAGGGUGACAGCCCCGUACACAAAAAUGCACAUGCUGUGAGCUCGAUGAGUAGGGCGGGACACGUGGUAUCCUGUCUGAAUAUGGGGGGACCAUCCUCCAAGGCUAAAUACUCCUGACUGACCGAUAGUGAACCAGUACCGUGAGGGAAAGGCGAAAAGAACCCCGGCGAGGGGAGUGAAAAAGAACCUGAAACCGUGUACGUACAAGCAGUGGGAGCACGCUUAGGCGUGUGACUGCGUACCUUUUGUAUAAUGGGUCAGCGACUUAUAUUCUGUAGCAAGGUUAACCGAAUAGGGGAGCCGAAGGGAAACCGAGUCUUAACUGGGCGUUAAGUUGCAGGGUAUAGACCCGAAACCCGGUGAUCUAGCCAUGGGCAGGUUGAAGGUUGGGUAACACUAACUGGAGGACCGAACCGACUAAUGUUGAAAAAUUAGCGGAUGACUUGUGGCUGGGGGUGAAAGGCCAAUCAAACCGGGAGAUAGCUGGUUCUCCCCGAAAGCUAUUUAGGUAGCGCCUCGUGAAUUCAUCUCCGGGGGUAGAGCACUGUUUCGGCAAGGGGGUCAUCCCGACUUACCAACCCGAUGCAAACUGCGAAUACCGGAGAAUGUUAUCACGGGAGACACACGGCGGGUGCUAACGUCCGUCGUGAAGAGGGAAACAACCCAGACCGCCAGCUAAGGUCCCAAAGUCAUGGUUAAGUGGGAAACGAUGUGGGAAGGCCCAGACAGCCAGGAUGUUGGCUUAGAAGCAGCCAUCAUUUAAAGAAAGCGUAAUAGCUCACUGGUCGAGUCGGCCUGCGCGGAAGAUGUAACGGGGCUAAACCAUGCACCGAAGCUGCGGCAGCGACGCUUAUGCGUUGUUGGGUAGGGGAGCGUUCUGUAAGCCUGCGAAGGUGUGCUGUGAGGCAUGCUGGAGGUAUCAGAAGUGCGAAUGCUGACAUAAGUAACGAUAAAGCGGGUGAAAAGCCCGCUCGCCGGAAGACCAAGGGUUCCUGUCCAACGUUAAUCGGGGCAGGGUGAGUCGACCCCUAAGGCGAGGCCGAAAGGCGUAGUCGAUGGGAAACAGGUUAAUAUUCCUGUACUUGGUGUUACUGCGAAGGGGGGACGGAGAAGGCUAUGUUGGCCGGGCGACGGUUGUCCCGGUUUAAGCGUGUAGGCUGGUUUUCCAGGCAAAUCCGGAAAAUCAAGGCUGAGGCGUGAUGACGAGGCACUACGGUGCUGAAGCAACAAAUGCCCUGCUUCCAGGAAAAGCCUCUAAGCAUCAGGUAACAUCAAAUCGUACCCCAAACCGACACAGGUGGUCAGGUAGAGAAUACCAAGGCGCUUGAGAGAACUCGGGUGAAGGAACUAGGCAAAAUGGUGCCGUAACUUCGGGAGAAGGCACGCUGAUACGUAGGUGAAGUCCCUCGCGGAUGGAGCUGAAAUCAGUCGAAGAUACCAGCUGGCUGCAACUGUUUAUUAAAAACACAGCACUGUGCAAACACGAAAGUGGACGUAUACGGUGUGACGCCUGCCCGGUGCCGGAAGGUUAAUUGAUGGGGUCAGCGCAAGCGAAGCUCUUGAUCGAAGCCCCGGUAAACGGCGGCCGUAACUAUAACGGUCCUAAGGUAGCGAAAUUCCUUGUCGGGUAAGUUCCGACCUGCACGAAUGGCGUAAUGAUGGCCAGGCUGUCUCCACCCGAGACUCAGUGAAAUUGAACUCGCUGUGAAGAUGCAGUGUACCCGCGGCAAGACGGAAAGACCCCGUGAACCUUUACUAUAGCUUGACACUGAACAUUGAGCCUUGAUGUGUAGGAUAGGUGGGAGGCUUUGAAGUGUGGACGCCAGUCUGCAUGGAGCCGACCUUGAAAUACCACCCUUUAAUGUUUGAUGUUCUAACGUGGACCCGUGAUCCGGGUUGCGGACAGUGUCUGGUGGGUAGUUUGACUGGGGCGGUCUCCUCCUAAAGAGUAACGGAGGAGCACGAAGGUUGGCUAAUCCUGGUCGGACAUCAGGAGGUUAGUGCAAUGGCAUAAGCCAGCUUGACUGCGAGCGUGACGGCGCGAGCAGGUGCGAAAGCAGGUCAUAGUGAUCCGGUGGUUCUGAAUGGAAGGGCCAUCGCUCAACGGAUAAAAGGUACUCCGGGGAUAACAGGCUGAUACCGCCCAAGAGUUCAUAUCGACGGCGGUGUUUGGCACCUCGAUGUCGGCUCAUCACAUCCUGGGGCUGAAGUAGGUCCCAAGGGUAUGGCUGUUCGCCAUUUAAAGUGGUACGCGAGCUGGGUUUAGAACGUCGUGAGACAGUUCGGUCCCUAUCUGCCGUGGGCGCUGGAGAACUGAGGGGGGCUGCUCCUAGUACGAGAGGACCGGAGUGGACGCAUCACUGGUGUUCGGGUUGUCAUGCCAAUGGCACUGCCCGGUAGCUAAAUGCGGAAGAGAUAAGUGCUGAAAGCAUCUAAGCACGAAACUUGCCCCGAGAUGAGUUCUCCCUGACUCCUUGAGAGUCCUGAAGGAACGUUGAAGACGACGACGUUGAUAGGCCGGGUGUGUAAGCGCAGCGAUGCGUUGAGCUAACCGGUACUAAUGAACCGUGAGGCUUAACCUU